GGAUUACAGGCAUGAGCCACCGCGCCCGGCUGAUUCCUCUGUGUUUGAACACUCAAAGCUAAAGGUGUGCCUGGGCUCCUUUUAGUAUGGAAAAGUUAUUAACAUGUGUGAAUAGUUCCAUAAAGCCCUAGACAUUGGAAAUUAAUGAGAAUAUGGAUAAAUUUUAUUUAGAUGUGUUUCUGAAGGUUUGCAUCAAGUGAUUUCAAUGUUUUUAAGAAAUAAUUUUCCAUCAAUAACAGAUACAUGUCAAGAUGGUCUUUAAAUGUUAAACAAUUUUUCUCAAUAAUUUUGCUGAAGUCUUCUGUGUUGUUUGUCCAUAUACAGCACCUCUGUUGAACAGUUGAUUCUGAUUUUAAAUAUAAGGGUUUGGAUAGAAAGGAAAUAAAUUUUGUUUAGGCACUAUGAGAUUCCUAUAUGUUACUAUUUCAACUGUAUUACUCCUCACAAAAAUCUAUGAGAUAGAUUCUAUUAAUCUCAUUUUAUAGAAAAGAAGGCUGAAGAUCUUAGAGCUCAAAUAACUUUAAUCCCAGAGAUCAGGUGAAUGGCAGAGUUGGGCCCAAAGUUUCUGCAAUUUCCUUUGGACUACACUACUUUCACUGGGUACUUUCAGACCAGCGCAAUUUGCAUGACAGCUCUCUCUUUCAAAGAACACCAACCAAAUCGUCCCUUCCUUCAAAGCCCUAUGCCACUGGGCUCCAUGCCUCAAGUUGGGGAAUGGCUAAAUAGAUUGGAAUAGCAGCAUUUAUUACACAAACCCUAUUGUGUUCAGCACAGCCACUUUCACUUUUCAGUGUAAUUAAUCUCCCCAGGGCAAGUGUUUUGUGGGCAUAUUUGCUAUGGGAAGACCAAGCUUUAUGCUUAUGUAUCCUGUGGCAAAAACAGAUCUUCCCAAUGAUGGGAAAAAGUUGUAAUAACUUCAGCUCUUGGUCUCUAAAUCUUUCAGGAGCCUCUAAUGAAACAUAUUUCUACUUUUUUUUUUAUUGUUUACUGGCCUUUCAGAUUAGAAACCUCCCAUGAGGUAGUUCCUUUCGUCAAGACACAGUGGAAUGUAGAUGAUGCUCUCAUGUGUUUAAUGACAAUGAGAUAGAGGGAGUAAGAACAUCACAUGCAUCCACUCUCAGCUAUGUCUAAAACACCAUGGUCAAUUCUCUUGUUAGCCACUUAUCAACUCAGCUUUCCAGACAGUAAAGCCACAUGGUGUACCUUUUAGUGUAUCUGGCAAGUUCACAAUGAAUACUUCAUUGAAAAAUAUUUGAACAAUUGGUGACUCUUAGAUAAAAAGAUGUCUAGACCAACAGCCGACUAUAAAGAUAACUGUUCAGAUGCUGAGUCAGAUUCUACCUAAUGCUCUUAUAUUUGUGCAUGUCCCAAUCAAGAAUGGGAGAAAAAAAAUUGAGAAUUUCCAUUGCCUUAAUCGCCCCAUGUUUCAUCUAUCUCUUUGUUCUUAAUACUAAGCAAGCAACUGAUGGAAUUUCUAAAUUGCUGUUAUUAUUACUUAAAGAAAGCUGUAAGAUUAAAUAGUAUUAAGGGCAGCGGAUGCUAGGAAUACAAGGGACACCAUGGGCAUACAAGAACAGUAAACAAAAACGUGGAUGCAGUGAACAAAACAAUAAUGUUAAUUCUUUCAUGUACUCCUGAUGCUGAAAGGCCAAGGUAAUAAGAUGGUGGGUCUAAUGAUUCUUAUACAAUUUUAGGUCUAUGGGACCUGUAGACCAACUUGGCUAUUUUUUUCACUGAAUUUGUUUGAAUUCUCAUGGAGACACCACCAUGAAACUCAAAAUGUCUACUUGACUUAAUUUUAUUAGCUGAAAAAUACAAAGAAAGCCUUUUUUCAUGUCAUGACGUUAUUUAAAAAUUGGAGGGAAGCUUUCAUUGCAAUCUGUAAAAAGAAAACAGCAGAUCUCAGCAGAGUGGCUGACAGGUGACACAAAUACAAUGCAUGCUAAUGUGCAAAGAGAAAGAACCUUGAGAGUUUAAACUAGCUGCAACAGAAAAAAAAAUCUUUAUCCAGAUAUGUGGUCCCUCAUGAAUUAUACUAUUAUUUUAGUUGAUUUUACCUGACAUUACCGUAUGAUUUUUUUUCCGUGAUAAGAAAAUUGCAGCCAGCCCUUGACAGUUGGUCACAAAUUGACCGAACAAAACAAAAUCAAACAGUGAAGUAAUCCCCAAAUAAAUUUAAUGGAACCUAAAUCCCAAAGGGCAGCACACUUCUGUAGGCAAUGGUCUUAUUUAAUAAAUUUUUCGCUGCUUUCACUUUUAGAGCUAUAUUUACGCAGACAAAUUUAAUUCAUUGGGUUUAUAUUUCCUCUUCCCCUUAGUUUGUCCACCAGGCACAUAUGGAAAGGACUGUAACCAGGUAUGUCAGUGUUCAGCCAAAAAUGAGGACUGUCACCCAGUCAUAGGGAGAUGCACCUGUAUGUCUGGCUACCAUGGAAACCACUGUCUUCUCUGUAUGUGUGUUCUGUGCUCAGCUGUAAUUUAUUGAGGAGGCACUGGUGGGGUUGGGGGUCAUCACUCGGAAUACCAAGGGCAAAUGUUAAUUGAAGCUUCUAAUUCAUAGAAAAUUCUGUUAGAAUUUAUAUUUGACUAGUUGAAAACAUAUACUUUCUGUGUAAUUCAUUCUUCUAUUUUGUCUUUUCUAUUCAAAAUAUUCCCAAGUUCUUCACAAGUAUCCACCAUGGAAAGAAAAAGAAUAAAAAAGAGAAAAAAAAUAAGAAAACAUAAACUUAUUAUUAUGAAUCAACAAAGAGCAAACUACAAUAUAUUUCAAGUGAUUCAUAAAGCAACACGUGGUUGGAUGUGGCUGCAAGGAUUCCUUGGCAACAUCAACUAUAAUUACAGGACUAUGAAAGAAGAUUCAAGAAAAUAUCCAUAAAAGGUGUAGCUGGCUUAAAAGCAAAACGUUCAGCAGCCAAGAACAACUGGACUUUCGUGUUCUCGAGUUCGGAAUGGAGAAUCAAAAUUUUCUCUCAGCAGAGGUCAGAGGAAGCAGACAAACUUACAGCAGAAUCUCAUCACUUGUUCAUAUUUCAGAGGAGAGAUAACUCCAUGCCUUGAAUCAACAACUUGAAGGUGACUGAAAAUAUCAAUAGUAUUUGGAAUGUUGAGUUAACCACAUUAAUUCUUUGGGUAUAUACCCAGGAAUGGGAUUGCUGGCUCAAAUGGCGUGUCAACUGGAGUGAAUUUAAACACUGUUUGCUAUCGCCAUGGGCAGGACUGUGUUCGACGGUGCUCCUGUGGCUCAGGACAGUGUGACCCAAUGACUGGAGUGUGUCACUCUCCACCUGGCCAAAUGGGAACCAGGUGUCAGGAAGGUAACAAUGAUGGCAGGGUCACCUUCUAUGUCCAACCACUACGUUAGCUACGCAGCGAAAGCAGAUUUGGUGCCAAGGAAGAUAACUAUAUGGGCAAUAUUUACAACAGUUUUUUUCUUUUAAUGUGAGUUUCAAAUAACAUGAAAGUGCAUGCUCCCAUAGCGCUAUAUAGAAAAUAGCUUCCUGGAAGAUAAGCAUAAAUUGGAAAAAAAGGUAAAUAAUAACUUAUGCAUACUCUUGACUAAGAAAAAAUUUUUAGAUAACAUUUAUUAACUUUUAUAAAACUGCCAAAAAUUGUGUGUUGGAGAUAUCUAAUUAUAAGAACUAAAGAAUGUUACAUCCUCUUCAACGAGGUUGAACCUGAAGAGGCUCCCUGAGAUCUAUAGAAAAAAUGGGAGACAAAGAGAAAAACACAAUCUGUUGAAAACUGCAAAACUUUCUUCACCUAAUUGUAAUAGUUAUUAUUACUAUCAUAAGGAGAGAAGAGCUGUCAAGUUUCAGAAAACAGGGAUUUUUAGGGAGAAUAAUGGGCCCCUACAAAUCCAAAGUAGGGCCAGCAGAGCAGCCCCUUCUCCAUGGCACACACAGAGAGCAAAACUAAGGACACUUUCCUGAAAAAUAAGGAUUGCGUCAAUAGAAGGGCUAUAAAAACUUCUCUGAAUCCCACUGAACAUCUUAGAGUGGAAAAAAACUGGAAAAAAAAAAAACAAGAAUUGCACAGACAUACCAUGUUUUUAAAUUUGCACCAGGACAGAAAGAAAUUUGUGGGUAAUUAGCAGCCUGAUAACUAAAGGGGAGGUAAACACACACACACACACACAUUAUACACACACACACACACACACACACGCAUGCAUCCUACAUGCUGUGUUAUAUGGAGCUGCACUCUGGAUGAAGAAGGUUUUCUUUUAACUAAGAUCAUUUUUCUAAGCCUAAAUCAAUACUACCCUUCCAGAAAUACCUAGUACAUUGCAAAAUGAAGCUUGUGCAUAAAAUACUCCUCUCAUUUUACAAACAAAAAAAAAUGAAACCAUUCAACGCUUCCCUUGCUUUUUUAGUGCAAAUUCUGUAAGAAGGAAAAAUGAGAAAAGGAAUAUGGAAAAGAAAAGGCAGAUGAACCAAGAGCAGAAAAGUUUUGCCAUGGAGCACAUGAAGAUAUUAACUAGAAUCUCUUCCAAGAAUUCAAAGGAUGUAAUGAAAAAGUGUUCUCUAUAAAAUGUGAGUGCAGUGCAGAGAUACAAGGGUUCAUGGAAUAAAUGAAAAGACAACAAAAGGAAAUGAAAAAGUAAGCUGGCAGAGCUCAAAAAAGAAGUGGAAAUGAAAAUUAAACCUCACAUCACAUAAAUGAAGGCCGUAUUGGGAGCAGGUAAAAAAAGGACAGAAUCUGCUGAUAGUACAGCUAGGUUAAAAAAAAAUGAGGAAAGUGAAAAUGAUGAAAUGGAAAAGAAAUGAGAAAGAAAUAUAUAAUUGGAAGAGGAAAAUAUUUAGAUAUACUAUUCAAGAUUCUUUCUUUGAAAGAAAAGAUCUGAUGCUACAUAUUAAAUUGAGUAUAUUUUAUCCCAGGAAAUAAUAGUUACAGUGGCUGAAAGGCAAGGGGAAACUCCAUUGAGGAUAUCAGGAAAUGUAUGAGCUUACUUAAGAGGAGAAAAAUCAGUCUGACUUUUUACCUCACAGCAAUAUUCAUUACUAACAUACAGCUAAUCAAUGCCUAUUAAGUUCAGGAGGAAAAAAUGUGACAGGUAUUUUAUACACAGUUAAGCUGUUAUUCAAAUAUAACAUGGUGGCAAAUUAACCACUUUUUUAAAGUUGCUGGAAGUACAGUAGCCUUAAAUUUUCUGAAGAAACUAUUGCAAGAUUAAUUUGAGCAGCCAAAUAAUAAAUGAGAAAUAUCUGAUAAAAAGACUAUUAGUAAACAUUAAAUUCAUCAUAAUUAAGGCUAAGUUUAAAACAAUUGUGAAAAUUUUCCUACAUGAUGGAAUAUAAAUAUUAUAAAUUAUAACAAUUUUAAAAUAGCUCUAACAGGGCAUAAACUGGAAAGACAGAGAAUGCGAAGGAGUAUAGCUAUACUGAUUUUAUUUCCUCAUUAAAGUUUGUGGGGUAUGUGGGAUAGAUCUGUGUCAAAACAUAUUGUUUAAAUAUAACAAUUCAAUAAGUAUGUUUAAGUGUAUAAAGGUGCAUUCUAGAAUUUAGAAUGCUUCAAUUGAGAUUUUAAGAAUAAAAAUACAGCCAACUAAAAUCAGGUGGAGAGAAAUGAAAAAAAAAAAAAAAGAGAAAGCAGAAUCAUAUCAAUUUCAAUACCAUUUAUACUGAGUUAACACAUACUAAAUAAUGAAAUUUAUUAUAUUAUGUAAUAUCUGAACUAUCUAAAAAGGAUUCCAUAAAUUAUGUAAGACUAUAUUUAUAAUAUAAGUACGUAGAGAACGUGUAGAGAACAAUGGAGUGCACACACCUUUUCCUAUUGCUCUCUCUUAACACAGUAAAAAUUCCAUACAAUGUAGAAAAUAAACUUAAGUCCCCGAAAUAUGAAGAAAAGAAAGCAGAUUGGAUAAGAACCUUAGAAAUCUAGGAAACAGCAUGAUGGUAAAUUCCCUGGUUUGGUUUUGUUUGUCUCAUAUAUCCCAGAUUGGGUGCUGGAGAAACCUACAACCCGGGGAGGCCAAUGGGUGGAGACAAAGAUCUAAGAUACCUCUGAUUUCUCUAGUCAAAGGACAGGAAAGGCGGCAGUCUAGCAAGGCAGAAAACUUUUAGAAAAUAACUGGUCUUCUUCAGGCAAACACUAUGAAACGAAACUGUAUCCUCAACCCCAAUCCCAUUAGCAAGGGCCAAAUGAGGAGUACACUUCAAACCCCAUCUUGAUGCAAGAAGAUACCCCUCUCUACCCCACAAACCAGGAUUGUGUAAAAAAAAAAAGCAAAGAAUAA